GGUCUAAUAGUGUAGUGGUUAGCACACGGGAUUUUGAUUGGUAAAAUGGCACAUCGGUUUCCCGUAACCCAGGUUCGAGUCCUGGUUAGACCU